CACAGGUUUGGUCCUAGCCUUCCCAUUGGUUAUUAAUAAACUUACACAUGCAAGAAUCCUCGCCCCAGUGAAUAAUGCCCUCUACGCCCCUAACGGUGCAGAGGAGCUGGUAUCAAGCACACAUAAAGUAGCUCAAAACACCUAGCUCAGCCACACCCCCACGGGAGACAGCAGUGACAAAAAUUAAGCAAUAAAUGAAAGUCUGACUAAGUUAUAUUAUUGAGGACUGGUAAAUCUCGUGCCAGCCACCGCGGUCAUACGACUAGGCCAAAUCAAUGGGCAUGCGGCGUAAAGAGUGUUUUAGAUGUAUAAUAAAUAAUAAAGUUAAACUUUAACUAAACUGUAAAAAGUCUUAGUUAAUGUAAAAUAUAGUACGAAAGUAACUUUAACAAGUCUGAUCACACUAUAGCUAAGGCCCAAACUGAGAUUAGAUACCUCACUAUGCUUAGCCCUAAACAUAGAAAAUUGUAAACAAAAUUAUUCGCCAGAGUACUACCAGCAAAAGCUAGAAACUCAAAGGACUUGGCGGUGCUUUAUACCCCCCUAGAGGAGCCUGUUCUAUAAUCGAUAAACCCCGAUAUACCUCACCAAUCUUUGCCAAAUCAGCCUAUAUACCGCCAUCUUCAGCAAACCCUAAUAAAGGAAAAAUAGUAAGCACAAAUAUCAGCAUAAAAACGUUAGGUCAAGGUGUAGCUUAUAGAUUGGGAAGAAAUGGGCUACAUUCCCUGAUCUAAGGGAACCCACGAAAACUCACAUGAAACAAGGAGUUAAAGGUGGAUUUAGUAGUAAAUUAAGAAUAGAGUGCUUAAUUGAAUAAGGCCAUGAAGCACGCACACACCGCCCGUCACCCUCCUCAAAUAAAUAAAAUAUACACUUACUAAAUUAAAAUAGGAUAAAAACUUAUAAGAGGAGACAAGUCGUAACAAGGUAAGUGUACUGGAAAGUGCACUUGGAAAACA
rnacentral:ncRNA from 1 species